UAAGAGGUCUAGCCUGCCCAGUGACACUAGUUCAACGGCCGCGGUAUCCUGACCGUGCGAAGGUAGCGUAAUCAUUUGUCUUUUAAAUUAAGACUCGUAUGAAAGGCACCACGAGAAUUAAACUGUCUCCUUUUUCUAAUCUAUGAAACUGAUCUCCCCGUGAAGAAGCGGGGAUUUUAAUAUAAGACGAGAAGACCCUAUGGAGCUUCAGACGAAUAAUAAUGCCCUCCCCCUUCCUCACUAAAAUACCAGGGCAUCUUAAUUAUUUAGUCUUGGGUUGGGGCGACCAUGGAGUAAAAAUCACCCUCCAUGCUGAACAGGACCUCCUUAAAUAAGAGCAACAGCUCUAUGAAUCAAUAAAUUGACACAUUUGACCCAAUUACUUGAUCAACGAAACAAGUUACCCUAGG
rnacentral:rRNA from 1 species